AAUCAACGCUGGCGGCGUGCCUAACACAUGCAAGUCGAACGAGAAAGUGACUUCGGUCACUGGAUAGUGGCGUCCGGGUGAGUAACACGUAGGUAAUCUACCUUCGGGUGGGGAAUAACUCGCCGAAAGGCGAGCUAAUACCGCAUAAUGCAGCGGCACCUAAUAGGUGAUUAGUUAGUUAAAGACGGGGGAGUCUUCGG
rnacentral:rRNA from 1 species